AAUNCCGGGUGCANNAAGAAGGCNUGGGGGUUGUUAACCGGUUUGGUACGGAACGAAAGGAGGNUGAUAAUACGAGGGGCANUNACGGUANNNAAGAAAAAGCCCCGGCUAUAUAUUUGCCAGCACCCGCGGUAAUAUNNAGGGGGCAAGCGUUUUUCGGAAUUUCUGGGCGUAAAGCGUGCGCGGGCGGUUUUGUAAGACAGGCGUGAAAUCCCCGGGCUUAACCUGGGAANUGCGNUUGUGAGUGCAAGUCUGGAGUGGGGGAGAGGGGGGUGGAAUUNCGCGUGUAGCAGUGAAAUGUGUAGAUAUGUGGGGGAACACCGCGGGGGAAGGCGAUCCCCUGGGCCUGCACUGACGCUCAUGCGCGAAAGCGUGGGGAGCAAACAGGAUUAGAUACCCUGGUAGUCCACGCCCUAAACGAUGUCAACUGGUUGGUGGGUCUCUUACGACUCAGUAACG
rnacentral:rRNA from 1 species